AUUGAACGCUGGCGGCAGGCUUAACACAUGCAAGUCGAGCGAGCGGCGGACGGGUGAGUAAUGUCUGGGAAACUGCCUGAUGGAGGGGGAUAACUACUGGAAACGGUAGCUAAUACCGCAUACCAUCAGAUGUGCCCAGAUGGGAUUAGCUAGUAGGUGGGGGAAUGGCUCACCUAGGCGACGAUCCCUAGCUGGUGUGAGAGGAUGACCAGACAAACUGUAAUGUAGACACGGUCCCGACUCCUACGGGCGGCAGCAGUGGGGAAUAUUGCAGAAGGGGCGCAAGCCUGAUUCAGCCAUGCCGCGUGUGUGAAGAAGGCCUUCGGGUUGUAAAGCACUUUCAGCGAGGAGGAGUUACUCGCAGAAGAAGCACCGGCUAACUCCGUGCCAGCAGCCGCGGUAAUUC
rnacentral:rRNA from 1 species